rnacentral:rRNA from 1 species
UACAUGGGGUGCAAACGUUGCUCGGAAUCAUUGGGCGUAAAGCGCACGUAGGCGGCUACCUAAGUCGGAUGUGAAAGCCCUCGGCUUAACUGAGGAAGUGCACCCGAAACUGAGUAGCUUGAGUACGAAAGAGGGUCGCGGAAUUCCCGGUGUAGAGGUGAAAUUCGUAGAUAUCGGGAGGAACACCGGUGGCGAAGGCGGCGACCUGGUUCGAGACUGACGCUGAGGUGCGAAAGCGUGGGGAGCAAACAGG